GAUGAAGAACGUAGCGAAAUGCGAUAAGUAAUGUGAAUUGCAGAAUUCAGUGAAUCAUCGAAUCUUUGAACGCACAUUGCGCCCCCUGGUAUUCCGGGGGGCAUGCCUGUCCGAGCGUCAUUACAACCCUCAAGCUCAGCUGGUGUUGGGCCCCGCCGCCCCGGCGGGCCCUAAAGUCAGUGGCGGUGCCGUCCGGCUCCGAGCGUAGUAAUUCUUCUCGCUCUGGAGGUCCGGUCGUGUGCUCGCCAGCAACCCCCAAUUUUUUUCAGGUUGACCUCGGAUCAGGUAGGGAUACCCGCUGAACUUAAGCAUAUCAAUAAGCGGAGGA
rnacentral:misc_RNA from 1 species